rnacentral:rRNA from 1 species
AGAGUUUGAUCAUGGCUCAGAUUGAACGCUGGCGGCAGGCUUAACACAUGCAAGUCGAACGGUAACAGGAGAAAGCUUGCUUUCUUGCUGACGAGUGGCGGACGGGUGAGUAAUGCUUGGGAAUCUGGCUUAUGGAGGGGGAUAACUACGGGAAACUGUAGCUAAUACCGCGUAAUAUCUUCGGAUUAAAGGGUGGGACUUUCGGGCCACCUGCCAUAAGAUGAGCCCAAGUGGGAUUAGGUAGUUGGUGGGGUAAAGGCCUACCAAGCCGACGAUCUCUAGCUGGUCUGAGAGGAUGACCAGCCACACUGGAACUGAGACACGGUCCAGACUCCUACGGGAGGCAGCAGUGGGGAAUAUUGCACAAUGGGGGGAACCCUGAUGCAGCCAUGCCGCGUGAAUGAAGAAGGCCUUCGGGUUGUAAAGUUCUUUCGGUGAUGAGGAAGGUGUUUGUUUUAAUAGAACAAGCAAUUGACGUUAGUCACAGAAGAAGCACCGGCUAACUCCGUGCCAGCAGCCGCGGUAAUACGGAGGGUGCGAGCGUUAAUCGGAAUGACUGGGCGUAAAGGGCACGCAGGCGGUGACUUAAGUGAGAUGUGAAAGCCCCGAGCUUAACUUGGGAAUUGCAUUUCAUACUGGGUCGCUAGAGUAUUUUAGGGAGGGGUAGAAUUCCACGUGUAGCGGUGAAAUGCGUAGAGAUGUGGAGGAAUACCGAAGGCGAAGGCAGCCCCUUGGGAAUAUACUGACGCUCAUGUGCGAAAGCGUGGGGAGCAAACAGGAUUAGAUACCCUGGUAGUCCACGCUGUAAACGCUGUCGAUUUGGGGAUUGGGCUUAGAGCUUGGUGCCCGUAGCU